CAUCCGGUUGAACUGGAAAUGUCCCUGA
rnacentral:sRNA from 1 species